rnacentral:rRNA from 1 species
GAUGAACGCUGACAGCAUGCUUAACACAUGCAAGUCAUUCGCGAAGCCGCGCUUGCUCAGUCUAGCCAGGGCGGACGGGUGAGUAACGCGUCAUGAACUUGCCCUGCAGACAGGUAUAACAGACUCAAGCGACUGAUAACACCUGCUAUUGUCAGGUUCUCCCACGCCGUCCUGAUUAGAGGGUACGCGGCAUGAGGGCCUCGCUUCCUAUUAGCUAGUUGGUGGGGUAAGUCCCCACCAAGGCGAUGAUAGGUAGCGGGCCUGAGAGGGUGAACGGCCACAAGGGGUGUGAGAUGCCGCAGUUACUCACACGGGAGACAGGAGUGGAGAAUAGUGGACAAGGGGGGCAACCCUGAUACAGCAAUUGUGUGCGGAAGAAGAAGGUUUUCGGAGUGUAAAGUGUUUUCAGCAGGGAAGAAGAAAGUGACGGUAACUGCAGAAGAAGCGACGGCUAAAUACGUG